UUAAGGCAUUUUUCAAGUUCUAUGGUAAAAUACAUGAACAAAAACACACCUAGUUUUUGCAAAAAGGACAUCACAGACCCAAAAAUGCACCAAAGGAAUCGUAGAUCACUGUGAGACCAGUUGAGCUUCGGAAUAAUUUCCGAGAAGAUAAUGACAGAAUUAGCUGUGAAUUUGCUGAUCCGGAGAGCAGCGAAGAAGGCCAAAAGAAAAACAGAUCGGAAAAGCAGAGUUUCUAGAUCCGAAGAACAUAUUGAGGGUAAAAUGGCAUAAUUUUAAUAAAAUUUUCUUGGA